AAGUAGAACGCUGAAGAGGGGAGCUUGCUCUUCUUGGAUGAGUUGCGAACGGGUGAGUAACGCGUAGGUAACCUGCCUUGUAGCGGGGGAUAACUAUUGGAAACGAUAGCUAAUACCGCAUAACAAUGGGUGACACAUGUCAUUUAUUUGAAAGGGGCAAUUGCUCCACUACAAGAUGGACCUGCGUUGUAUUAGCUAGUAGGUGAGGUAACGGCUCACCUAGGCGACGAUACAUAGCCGACCUGAGAGGGUGAUCGGCCACACUGGGACUGAGACACGGCCCAGACUCCUACGGGAGGCGGCAGUAGGGAAUCUUCGGCAAUGGGGGCAACCCUGACCGAGCAACGCCGCGUGAGUGAAGAAGGUUUUCGGAUCGUAAAGCUCUGUUGUAAGUCAAGAACGAGUGUGAGAGUGGAAAGUUCACACUGUGACGGUAGCUUACCAGAAAGGGACGGCUAACUACGUGCCAGCAGCCGCGGUAAUACGUAGGUCCCGAGCGUUGUCCGGAUUUAUUGGGCGUAAAGCGAGCGCAGGCGGUUUGAUAAGUCUGAAGUUAAAGGCUGUGGCUCAACCAUAGUUCGCUUUGGAAACUGUCAAACUUGAGUGCAGAAGGGGAGAGUGGAAUUCCUAGUGUAGCGGUGAAAUGCGUAGAUAUUAGGAGGAACACCAGUGGCGAAGGCGGCUUACUGGACGAUAACUGACGCUGAGGCUCGAAAGCGUGGGGAGC
rnacentral:rRNA from 1 species